rnacentral:tRNA from 1 species
CCGACGGUAGCUCAGUUGGUAGAGCGGAGGACUGUAGCGGCUGAGCCAAAGUUAUCCUUAGGUCACCAGUUCAAAUCUGGUUCGUCGGA